rnacentral:rRNA from 1 species
UACGUAGGGAGCAAGCGUUAUCCGGAUUUAUUGGGUGUAAAGGGUGCGUAGACGGGUCAGCAAGUUAGCUGUGAAUCCCCAGGCUUAACUCGGGAACUGCAGCUAAACUACUGAUCUUGAGUACUGGAGGGGAAAGUGGAAUUCCUAGUGUAGCGGUGAAAUGCGUAGAUAUUAGGAAGAACACCGGUGGCGAAGGCGACUUUCUGGACAGUAACUGACGUUGAGGCACGAAAGUGUGGGGAGCAAACAG